GAUGAACGCUGGCGGCGUGCCUAAUACAUGCAAGUCGAGCGAACAGAUAAGGAGCUUGCUCCUUUGACGUUAGCGGCGGACGGGUGAGUAACACGUGGGUAACCUACCUAUAAGACUGGGAUAACUUCGGGAAACCGGAGCUAAUACCGGAUAACAUUUGGAACCGCAGGGUUCUAAAGUGAAAGAUGGUUUUGCUAUCACUUAUAGAUGGACCCGCGCCGGAUUAGCUAGUUGGUAAGGUAACGGCUUACCAAGGCAACGAUACGUAGCCGACCUGAGAGGGUGAUCGGCCACACUGGAACUGAGACACGGUCCAGACUCCUACGGGAGGCAGCAGUAGGGAAUCUUCCACAAUGGGCGAAAGCCUGACGGAGCAACACCGCGUGAGUGAUGAAGGGCUUCGGCUCGUAAAACUCUGUUAUUAGGGAAGAACAAAUGUGUAAGUAACUGUGCACGUCUUGACGGUACCUAAACAGAAAGCCACGGCUAACUACGUG
rnacentral:rRNA from 1 species